rnacentral:rRNA from 1 species
UACAUGGGGUGCAAACGUUGCUCGGAAUUAUUGGGCGUAAAGCGCGCGUAGGCGGUUACUCAAGUCGGAUGUGAAAGCCCUCGGCUUAACUGAGGAAGUGCACCCGAAACUGAGUAGCUAGAGUACUAAAGAGGGUCGCGGAAUUCCCGGUGUAGAGGUGAAAUGCGCAGAUAUCAGGAGGAACACCGGUGGCGAAGGCGGGUCUCUGGGCCGAUACUGACGCUGGAGGAGCGAAAGCGUGGGGAGCGAACAGG